rnacentral:rRNA from 1 species
CACGUAGGGCGCAAGCGUUGUUCGGAUUCAUUGGGCGUAAAGGGUGCGUAGGCGGCGCGGUAAGUCGGGUGUGAAAUCUCGGAGCUUAACUCCGAAACUGCAUUCGAUACUGCCGUGCUUGAGGACUGGAGAGGAGACUGGAAUUUACGGUGUAGCGGUGAAAUGCGUAGAUAUCGAGAGGAACACCUGCGGCGAAGGCGGGUUGCUGGGCUGACACUGACGCUGAAGCGCGAAAGCUAGGGGAGCGAACGGG